rnacentral:rRNA from 1 species
UACGUAGGGGGCAAGCGUUGUCCGGAUUUACUGGGCGUAAAGGGCGUGCAGGCGGUCUGUUAAGUGCAGGGUGAAAGCUCCCGGCUCAACUGGGAGAGGUCCUUGCAUACUGGCGGACUUGAGGGGGGUAGAGGAAAGUGGAAUUCCCGGUGUAGUGGUGAUAUGCGUAGAUAUCGGAAGGAACACCGAUGGCGAAAGCAGCGCGCUGGACCUCUUCUGACGCUCAGGCGCGAAAGCCAGGGGAGCAAACGGG